UACCAGCACCCCGAGUGGUCGGGACGUUUUAUUGGGCCUAAAGCAUCCGUAGCCGGUUCUACAAGUCUUCCGUUAAAUCCAACUGCUUAACAGGUGGGCUGCGGAAGAUACUAUAGAGCUAGGAGGCGGGAGAGGCAAGCGGUACUCGAUGGGUAGGGGUAAAAUCCGUUGAUCCAUUGAAGACCACCAGUGGCGAAGGCGGCUUGCCAGAACGCGCUCGACGG
rnacentral:rRNA from 1 species